GCGGGGGGGUGGGGGUGGGGUGUCCAGUAGAUUGUUGCCAGGGCAUGGGCUGAUUCGGCGUGUUCCAAGUGACUCGGGACCUCAACAGGGCAUGUGCAGACCUGCCCGUCUGCAGCAGGCUGACCCGGCGUGUUCCGCGCAACUGGGGACCUCACCAGCAGCUUUUUAUCUGCACCGUCACUAACUUCACAGCUGCCUAGUUGAUGACAAAGGGACCACAGAGACGUCAGCUGCAAAAAUUAGUUUCUGAAAGGAAGAACAGGUACAGGACCCUCUUCGGCCAAGGUCAGGAAGGGGAGGUGUUCUGCUGCCUUCAGCAGCAGACGUGGGGAAACUGCAAGUGGACCCGUGUUGAGUGGGGAGGACCUUGGAGAACACCUGCCUUAACAUUUCCAUCAGAGGUUGAAUGCUUCUGAGCCCUGCUCCAUGAAGCCAUUGCCUCCCUGCAUCCAGAGUGUUCAUCUGUGCUGUGCACCAUCCUUGCCUCAUUCUGCUGGACUGCUUCUUCCUUGGAAUGUGCUCUCCAGCCAGCCGGAAGCCUGCCUGCAUGCCAGGCACUGUACUUGCCAGGUGGCCCUUCCUUGAGCCCAGGGCGGGGCGCAUUCACCCUAGCUACCACUCACUUUCCCAGAGAAGCCAUGAGAUCACCCCACCAUGUGUUCAAAGAAUACACCGAAGGUGGUCUUAAAUUGCUCUAAGCAAAAACCUCCCCAGGGGAGGUCACUCUCCAGUUUAAGCUGAUGCUGAACAAUCUUUAAGUUGAAGGCCUCCUCUUGUUGCCUGCUUUCCUGCAGAUAAAAGACCAGAAAAUGAGCUGGUCUUACAGCUUAUGAUUGCUUUGCACAGACUAAACAUUCAGUACUCAUCAGAUUCCCCUCCCCCAACUUCAUUUAUUAAAAUUGUGUUCUCCAACUCUUUCAGAUUGUUCCUCCUACUCGGUCCCUACAAUUACCUAUCUUGUGCUCUGGGAAUGAAUCUGGAAACAAGAGCUCUGUGGUUUUU
rnacentral:lncRNA from 1 species